AAACACGGCAGAUUUAGAAAGUGAGGCAGUUAAAUUUAAUAUUCUACGGUGAAUUUAUUAUUACUAUAGCGAUUUAGUGAAUUAUUACACUCCAGGCAUCGUUUUAAUCCAGUAUUAGGAGUCAAAGCAUAAAAUUAUAUACGGACACUUAACCUUAAAACCUAUUGGAACCUAUGAACUAAAGUGUACGGAUAUAUAGUACGUGCGAAGUGCAGAUCUACAUAAGAAUCGUUCAGUAUCGUAGGAACAAUUCAUCAGAUUCGACAUAGACAUACUAGACUGGUUCGUGGACCGACGUAGAUUAGACACACAAACGGGAC